AUGAGAAGAGGAAAAAUAAGUAAAGUUAUGUUGUUGUUAUUUUUGUUCGAUUACAAAAAUAAAAAAUCUUUUGUUCAAACUUCAGACAAGAAACAGAGAAUACAUAGAGAACCAUCCAAUAACUCUGCUCAAAAACACAAAAUAUUCUACCAAAAUCACUGUAAAUUGCUCUCUACCCUCUCCAAACCCUUAAACAAACCACUCAAAGUCUGCUCAACUCUCUAUAAACUCUAUUGA